rnacentral:rRNA from 1 species
CCUACGGGGGGCAGCAGUGGGGAAUAUUGGACAAUGGGGGGAACCCUGAUCCAGCCAUGCCGCGUGUGUGAAGAAGGCCCUCGGGUUGUAAAGCACUUUCAGUGAGGAAGAACGCCUGGUGGUUAAUACCCAUCAGGAAAGACAUCACUCACAGAAGAAGCACCGGCUAACUCCGUGCCAGCAGCCGCGGUAAUACGGAGGGUGCGAGCGUUAAUCGGAAUUACUGGGCGUAAAGCGCGCGUAGGUGGCUUGAUAAGCCGGUUGUGAAAGCCCCGGGCUCAACCUGGGAACGGCAUCCGGACCUGUCAAGCUAGAGUGCAGGAGAGGAAGGUAGAAUUCCCGGUGUAGCGGUGAAAUGCGUAGAGAUCGGGAGGAAUACCAGUGGCGAAGGCGGCCUUCUGGACUGACACUGACACUGAGGCGCGAAAGCGUGUGUAGCAAACAGGAUUAGAUACCCUUGUAGUC